UACGGAGGAUCCAAGCGUUAUCCGGAAUCAUUGGGUUUAAAGGGUCCGUAGGCGGUUUUGUAAGUCAGUGGUGAAAGCCCAUCGCUCAACGGUGGAACGGCCAUUGAUACUGCAAGACUUGAAUUAUUGGGAAGUAACUAGAAUAUGUAGUGUAGCGGUGAAAUGCUUAGAGAUUACAUGGAAUACCAAUUGCGAAGGCAGGUUACUACCAAUAUAUUGACGCUGAUGGACGAAAGCGUGGGGAGCGAACCGG
rnacentral:rRNA from 1 species